UACGUAGGGUGCGAGCGUUAAUCGGAAUUACUGGGCGUAAAGCGUGCGCAGGCGGUCUCGCAAGCUGGGUGUGAAAGCCCCGGGCUUAACCUGGGAAUGGCGUUCAGGACUGCGAGGCUCGAGUGUGGCAGAGGGAGGUGGAAUUCCACGUGUAGCAGUGAAAUGCGUAGAGAUGUGGAGGAACACCGGUGGCGAAGGCAGCCUCCUGGGCCAGCACUGACGCUCAUGCACGAAAGCGUGGGGAGCAAACAGG
rnacentral:rRNA from 1 species